GGGAAUGUGACUUAGUGGUACAGUGCUUGCCUAGGAUGCAUGAAGCCAUGGGUUCGAUUCCUCAGUACCA
rnacentral:tRNA from 1 species